AAAGUAUGAUUAUUAUUUUUAUUGUCCCUGUGUUACAGGCGAGGAAACCGAAGGCAAGAAGUUGCCAAGUUUAGACAAUUAGCUUCAAAAUUCAAAGGAGGUGUCAAAAUGGAGGGUAGGGAAAAGUCUUUCACCUUUGAGCAUCAACCAUGAAGUCAAAAGCUUCAGAGAAAAGGAAGGUGGGUUCCAUCUGGGUGCAGAGGUCAGUUGUAUCCAACUGACGGAGGAUAUCACCAAUAUUUCUCCAGGCAAGUCCUGGACAAGAAGGAAGGUAAAGAGGAGAGCCGUUCUUGUGGCAGG